CAGGUGCGCCGGGGACUUAGGCAGUGCCGCGCCGCACGGCCCGCGCCGGUUUCCAAGGUGAAGGAGGAGGAGCCUCUGAGGGAAAGUUUCCACAGAAACUUGAGCUGGGCGCAGUGUAGCACUCGCGCCCUUGGGGGCUAGCGUUUGGCCGGAGCUACACACUCUUUACUCACGCACGCACACCGCCGUACACAGCACAAUCGUUCACCGUCCCGCCAAAGGCUCGUCUCUCGGGUUCUGCCUAGUGGAAGGAGUCGGACAACGCCGCACGUCACGGGCGUUUCGGAUUUCUUGCUUCCCAAAGGUUUGACGGCGGCCACCGGCGCCCCGGCCCAGCUCUGCUUUCCUUUGCUGACUCCUUCCUUUAGCUGUCUACCACCACUGCUGCGCUUGUGGAUGACUGCAGGAACACCGGGUACUUGCCACAAGUAUCUCUCCAGAUUCAUCAGCCUUUCACCUGUGACAAGCUCAGUCAAGAAGUGGCUCCUAAGUAAAAGCUGGGGAAGAACAAGGAAGAUAGAGCUCAGAGUAGAAAGCUGUGAAGUUCUGCACAACAGGUCCCCUUGGCCUGCUCUAACAGUUGGAAGACAGGCAUGGUAGCUCAUGUGGAAGCUUCCCGAGGCCCUCACCCAGAAGCAGAUGCUGGAGCCAUGCUUGUACAGCUUGCAGAACUAAAGCCCAGCUGGCUUGGUUCCAUGAAUCUUUGCCCUUCUUUCCAUCCACUUCUUCCUGCUUGGACAUUGGUUACCUGGAGAAGCAGAAGCCAUUUUAAGAUGAUGAAAGCAAAAGUUAAAUGUAUGAGAUGAUGGUGCAGAAAGCCAAAAGGGGCCUCCAGAACACUGAGCUUUGUGGAGUCGUGUACCAUAGCUGUAUUGCCGACCUCUGAACUUCCUGCUGAGAUAAAAAACAAUCCUUAUGUGUUUAUACUACUUUUAUUUCAGUUUCUUUUAAGUAUAGCAAACACAUUCCAAAUAAUAUGCAUCUGAAGUUUUUGGUUUUGUUUUUAAAUUUUUUUUUUAGGGAUGGGUUCUGGCUGCGUAGUGGCUAGAGUGUAGUGGCUA
rnacentral:lncRNA from 1 species